rnacentral:rRNA from 1 species
GAUGAACGCUGGCGGCGUGCCUAAUACAUGCAAGUCGAGCGAACGGACGAUAAUCUUGCUUCUCUGAUGUUAGCGUCGGACGUGUGAUUAACACGUUUAUAACCUACCUAUAUUACUGUUAUAACUUCGUGAAACCUUAUCUAAUACCGUAUAAUCUUUUGAACCGCAUUGUUCAUAAGUGCAUUCCGUUCUUUCUGUCACUUUUAGAUUUUUCCUGGCUGCAUUAGCUAGUUGGUAAGGUAACGGCUUAACAAGGCAACGAUGCAUAGCCGACCUGAGAGGGUGAGCGGCGAAACUGGAACGGAGACACGGACAAGACUCCUACGGGAGGCAGCAGUAGGGAAUAGUGCGAAAUGGGGGAAAGCAUGACGGAGCAACGCCGAGUGAGUGAUGAAGGUCUUCGGAUCGUAAAACAAUGUUAGUAGGGAAGAAAAGAUGGGUAAGAAAAAGUGCAGAUAAUGACGGUACCUAAACAGAAAGCAACGGCUAACUACGUG